UAGGGUUCGAUCAUGGCUCAGGAUGAACGCUGGCGGUAUGCCUAACACAUGCAAGUCGUACGAGAGUUUUUAACUCAAGCGUCGGGCGGGUGAGUAACACGUGAGAAUUUGCCUUUAGGAGGGGGAUAACAGAGUGAAAACGCUGCUAAUACCCCAUUUGCUUUCGAGUGAAAUGGAUUUAUUCGCCUAAAGAGAAGCUCGCGGCUGAUUAGCUUGUUGGUAAGGUAAUGGCUUACCAAGGCGACGAUCAGUAUCUGGUUUUGAGGGAGGAUCAGACACACUGGAACUGAGACACGGUCCAGACUCCUACGGGAGGCAGCAGUGGGGAAUUUUCCGCAAUGGGCGAAAGCCUGACGGAGCAAUUCCGCGUGAGGGAUGACUGCCUAUGGGUUGUAAACAUCUUUUCUCAGGGAGGAAAUCAAUGACGUUACCUGAGGAAUAAGCAUCGGCUAACUCCGUGCCAGCCGCCGCGGUAAUACA
rnacentral:rRNA from 1 species